rnacentral:rRNA from 1 species
GACGGAGGAGGCAAGCGAUAUCCGGACUUAUUGGGCGUAAAGCGUCCGCAGGUGGCUUUCCAAGUCUGCUGUCAAAGCCCGAGGCUUAACCUCGGAUCGGCGGUGGAAACUGGAUCGCUAGAGUACGUCAGGGGUAGGGGGAAUUCCCGGUGUAGCGGUGAAAUGCGUAGAUAACGGGAAGAACACCAGCGACGAAAGUGACCUACUGGGACCUUACUGACACUCAUGGACGAAAGCUAGGGGAUCGAAAGGG